GACAGUCUAGGGAAUCAGAUGGUCAACUCUCCAGUUUAUAAAGUCCUUAAUGCCCCAUGUCAUCCAGAGUAUAGCUUGUUUCACAUUCGCCUUGACAGUUACGAGGAGAGGACAUACAUGCCAUCCCCUUACAGUUUGGCUUCUAAUGGUUUUUUUUAUACAGGAGAAACUGACUGUGUGCGAUGUUUCCAGUGUGGUCUUGGACUAAGGUCUUGGAAACAAGGGGAUGCUGUCCUUACACAGCAUGAGAAAUUCCGGCCAACAUGUCCAUUCCUGAUGUCAUUAACUAAAAGACAAUUAAAUGCUAGCACUGAAGCUAUUGCCAUAGCAGACUCAGGCCUAUCACCAUCAGAAGAUGCAGACAUUCAGUUGUUAGAAUCAGAAAAUAGAACAUUGAAACAACGAUUGCAAUGCAAAAUCUGUUUCAAGUCUGAAAUCAAGGAUGUCUUUUUACCUUGCGGAGAAUUGUAUGCCUGUAGUGAAUGUUCUAAAUUGUUGACACAUUGUCCGUCCUGUAAGAAACAAAUCCUGGCUACAGUUACUGUCUACCUCACUUGAUGUCAAAAGUGAAGCAUAGACAUCCUUAUUCUGAGGCUGGCAGUAGACUAAGAGAAUUGGAUAGCUUGCACUGCUUAAGAAAGUAAUAAAAUUUAUAGGAAUUGAACACCAUCUCAGAUAAACUACACUAAUAGUGUUUGUGGUCAUUCCUUCGUCCUGAAUAUCUACACAAACAAAGGCCUAAGAAAAGAUUCCUGCCUUGGUGCUGGCUGUGUUGUCCAGAGGACUGCGAACCCAGGCAUUUAAUUAGUCUACUGCCACAGUUUCAAAACUAGCGUAAAGUACAUUGAUGAUUCUUUAUAUCUUGAAUUAGUUGACAUGCUGAUUCUUGAAUAUGUAUUCAGGUUAAGUAAACCAAGGAAGUAUUUUGCUACUAGGAAGUGGCUUUUCUACUACUUAGUAGAUCUUCAAAUGUAUAGUACGUCUUAGAUAGGUUUAAAAAAAUAAAUUCAUGUCAUAAUUUUUUUUUUUAAAUAGCUUUUGUUUUAAAUUUACUACACAAAAAAAAAUUUUUCUUUUUAACAAAUGUACAGGGUGUCCAGUGAUAUUGAAAAUUAUGUUCGUAAUAAUUUUUUUAUCUUUUGUACAUUGUUUUCUAAUAAAAUCUCCGGAAUGUAAAGUACACUCUGGGGGGUGGUGGGGGGUUAUAAAAUGUUAAUGAAUUGUGUAGACUAUCAUCUGGUCACUAAUUCUGGGUAAUGUUUUAUUUUUAAUUAAAUUUUAAUUGUUGAUACUUCAGAUUAUUAAGGAAUUACAGCACUUCUUAUGACACUCAACUGUAGAAUUAGGUUACUAUUACACCGCUCAAAAAGGGAGUAAACUAGGGCAAUUCUUUUUUUUUUUACAAAAUAAUGUCACUUAAGAUAUAUACAUAUAUCUCAAAAUGUAAUACUAGUCAAGAGUACAUUCACAUGAAUAAAAUUAGUUGUUUGGACACUCAAAAUAUAGCAACAGCCAAUGUAGGUCAAUCCAGUAAAACUAAGGUACAGCAAUAUUAAUUAAGUGACUGUAUCAGUGUAGCUUAAGUAUCAAAGAAGAAGAAAAUAUGAUUUAAACAUUAUGAAUUAACAUGGUAGGAAUAAAAUAUUUGAUCUGUUUAUUCCCAUUUGUUACUGCAUAGAUCACCAAUACUCCAACAUAUUUCAGUUGAGAAUAUAGACUCUCUACCACCUUAUCACAUUAAGAAGAGAGAAAAACAAA
rnacentral:sRNA from 1 species